rnacentral:misc_RNA from 1 species
CUUCCCAGCCCACCUUCGCUGUCCAGCCACCCUCGCUCUACUACAUCUCCCACCCCCCUCACACCACCAUGGCUUCUUCCCGCAAGGCUUCCAACCCGCACAAGUCGCACCGCAAGCCUAAGCGCACGUGGAACGUGUACGUGGGCCGCUCGCUGAAGGCGAUCAACGCCCAGAUGUCGAUGUCGCACCGCACGAUGAAGAUCGUGAACUCGUACGUGAACGACGUGAUGGAGCGCAUCUGCACUGAGGCCGCGUCGAUUGUUCGCGCGAACAAGAAGCGCACGCUGGGUGCGCGCGAGGUGCAGACGGCGGUGCGCAUUGUGCUGCCGGCGGAGCUCGCGAAGCACGCCAUGGCUGAGGGCACGAAGGCCGUGUCGAGCGCGUCCCGCUAAACCGGUUUUUCGGAUGCCGUGCGAGUAGGAGGGUGGCUGCCGCAGACGGCUGACCUCGGCGACUGCGGCGUGGCGCUCCCCUUCUCCGGCGGUGUGUGUCAUGCAUCUGCUUGACUCCUCCCUCUCAUAGAUGCAAGUUUUUUUCUCUCGCGAUAUUUUAUUUUUCUCCUCCCCCUCCCUCAACGUGGAGUGUAUGUGACAGCGUACUGGACAUGAAGUUGAACAAGCAAUGCCCCUCUGCUGCGGAGUCGCAGAUGAGUGUGGGGUGUCGAUGGCGUCUUGCGGUGUAUGCACCCGCUGUAGCAAACGCGUUCGAGGGUGACGGCGGCACGCGUGGAGAACAUCGGCUUGCUCUCACCUAGGCGCAUCUGUUCUAGCCCCUUGUCGCCGUUUUAUGUUCCCUACCGAUUUCCCGUAUUAAUAUCUCGUUCUCGCGAGGGACCUGGCCCGUUUGACCGGCAAGCACCUCAGCUCGUCUCCCUACCACCCCCGAUUUCUCUCCCUUGCCGCCACCCGCCCCCCUUCACUCCUCUGCCACGAUGCGCACACCCGCACGCACAAUUCAUGCAG